GGACGGAUGGUCGGUCGGUAGUAGGAAGGAAAGGGAAAAUCGAGCUCGAGUACGAGAGGGUCGGACAGAGCUUAACUGGAAUAAUACAUGUGUACAUAUGUCAUUUAAGCGUUUCCUUAAGCUAUCUUAAAAAAACUAGAAUUUACUAUAUCCGAGAAUAAGUAGCAAUAACUAUGAUGAGUUAUGAGAGUCAAAGCCAAGUGAGGCCGCGUUCGUUUGUUCCAACUCGAAGACAACUCGAAGACAGGUAUAUUUUUUCAAUCUGAGCCGGAUAGAGUGGAUCCGAGUGGUUCACUAAAACCUAUAAAGGGUUGGUUUGGUUUGAUUCCAGGUGAUUAUAGGUGUGGCUCUAAUCCAAGUUGUUGAGUGGGUAAAAAGGCCUGGUUUCAUUCUAGAAUGGUUUGGUUUCAUUACGGAACAGGUCUAUCCGAACAACCAUUUUAGAUUGAUUCUGAUUUAAAUCCAGAUCAAAUAAUUCCGGGUGGAACCGACCGUGUUCGAUGUCGUUCCGGCACAGUCGAACGAGGCCUGAGCCGAUCUCACCGCAAGGACUCAACCAAACGUGAAACUAUUGUCCUGGGCUGUGCCGGGAAAAGUGAGGCCCUGUACAAAAUUAUCGAAUAGAUGUCUUUUUUUACAAAAUCACUAAAAACUAACAGUAUAAUAAUAUAAAUAUUAUAAUACAACAUAGAAAUAAAUUUUAUGAAAAGCAUACCUAUUAAACUCUUGGUUACAUAAAUUUUA
rnacentral:lncRNA from 7 species